rnacentral:rRNA from 1 species
UCGAACGGUCUUUUCUAUGGAAGCUUGCUUCCACUGAGAAGAUAGUGGCGGACGGGUGAGUAACACGUGGGUAACCUGCCCAUAAGAGGGGGAUAACAUCCGGAAACGGGUGCUAAUACCGCAUAGUUUUCUUGAUCGCAUGAUCGAGAAAGGAAAGACGGCCUUUGUGCUGUCGCUUAUGGAUGGACCCGCGGCGUAUUAGUUAGUUGGUGAGGUAACGGCUCACCAAGACGAUGAUACGUAGCCGACCUGAGAGGGUGAUCGGCCACAUUGGGACUGAGACACGGCCCAAACUCCUACGGGAGGCAGCAGUAGGGAAUCUUCCGCAAUGGACGAAAGUCUGACGGAGCAACGCCGCGUGAGUGAAGAAGGUUUUCGGAUCGUAAAACUCUGUUGUCAGAGAAGAACAAGUCGGAGAGUAACUGCUCCGGCCUUGACGGUAUCUGACCAGAAAGCCACGGCUAACUACGUGCCAGCAGCCGCGGUAAUACGUAGGUGGCAAGCGUUGUCCGGAUUUAUUGGGCGUAAAGCGAGCGCAGGCGGUUCCUUAAGUCUGAUGUGAAAGCCCACGGCUCAACCGUGGAAGGUCAUUGGAAACUGGGGAACUUGAGUGCAGAAGAGGAAAGUGGAAUUCCAUGUGUAGCGGUGAAAUGCGUAGAUAUAU